AAUAGAUACCCUGGUAGUCCACGCCCUAAACGAUGUCAACUAGCUGUUGGGGGCUUCGGCCCUUGGUAGCGCAGCUAACGCGUGAAGUUGACCGCCUGGGGAGUACGGUCGCAAGAUUAAAACUCAAAGGAAUUGACGGGGACCCGCACAAGCGGUGGAUGAUGUGGAUUAAUUCAAUGCAACGCGAAAAACCUUACCUACCCUUGACAUGUCUGGAAUGCCGAAGAGAUUUGGCAGUGCUCGCAAGAGAACCGGAACACAGGUGCUGCAUGGCUGUCGUCAGCUCGUGUCGUGAGAUGUUGGGUUAAGUCCCGCAACGAGCGCAACCCUUGUCAUUAGUUGCUACGAAAGGGCACUCUAAUGAGACUGCCGGUGACAAACCGGAGGAAGGUGGGGAUGACGUCAAGUCCUCAUGGCCCUUAUGGGUAGGGCUUCACACGUCAUACAAUGGUCGGGACAGAGGGUCGCCAAGCCGCGAGGUGGAGCCAAUCCCAGAAACCCGAUCGUAGUCCGGAUCGCAGUCUGC
rnacentral:rRNA from 1 species